CUUUGCUGAUUCGGAAUUGGCAGAGUUUGAAGCUAUGGACUAAGAUGCCCAAAUCUGAGGGUUUGCUUAAUUAUGAAAGGACCUUCCCAUGUAGGUGACCAUUUUCCAUACCCAGCCACAUGAGUUCCAAGAGGUAGAACUGCCUUUCAAACUAUUUCUCCCUCUUCAAAACUCUUGUUUUUGACUCUUUUGUUGUAGGCUCU
rnacentral:lncRNA from 1 species